rnacentral:rRNA from 1 species
GCGGCGCCCUACGGGAGGCAGCAGUGGGGAAUAUUGCACAAUGGGCGCAAGCCUGAUGCAGCCAUGCCGCGUGUAUGAAGAAGGCCUUCGGGUUGUAAAGUACUUUCAGCGGGGAGGAAGGCGAUAAGGUUAAUAACCUUGUCGAUUGACGUUACCCGCAGAAGAAGCACCGGCUAACUCCGUGCCAGCAGCCGCGGGUAAU